AGCGAACGCUGGCGGCAGGCUUAACACAUGCAAGUCGAGCGGGCAUCCUUGUGGUGUCAGCGGCAGACGGGUGAGUAACGCGUGGGAACGUGCCCUUCGGUUCGGAAUAAUUCAGGGAAACUUGAGCUAAUACCGGAUACGUGCGAGAGCAGAAAGGUUUAUCUGCCGAAGGAUCGGCCCGCGUCUGAUUAGCUCGUUGGUGAGGUUAUGGCUCACCAAGGCGACGAUCAGUAGCUGGUCUGAGAGGAUGAUCAGCCACACUGGGACUGAGACACGGCCCAGACUCCUACGGGAGGCAGCAGUGGGGGAUAUUGGACAAUGGGGGCAACCCUGAUCCAGCCAUGCCGCGUGAGUGAUGACGGCCUUAGGGUUGUAAAGCUCUUUUCUCCGGGACGAUAAUGACGGUACCGGAGGAAUAAGCCCCGGCUAACUUCGUG
rnacentral:rRNA from 1 species